ACCCAGAGAUGCCCUGUCCAGCUGUGUGCUGGGCAGUUGUGACUCUUCCUGGGAUCCAAGAAUUUCCAGUGAAAUUCUGCUCACGGAGAAGAGUCAUGGCUUCCUAGGAGAAGAAACGCUGCAAGGUACAAGUGAGUGGAUUCCAAGGCCGGAGCCAUGGGAACAGCUGAAGCCAGAAGAAGCCAGAGUCCUCACAACCAAACCUGAGCGACUGCCAAGUCUAGAGCUAGAGAGGGAUGAGCCCCGCGGGAGGGAUGGGACACACUCACUGUAACCUCAGUGGACCAGCGGGCUGCUGCUAACCCUUGUUUCCCCCAUAUAUAAGGGCACAGUUUCUUAUCCCUGAUCCUUGCCUGAAAGAAGGCUGUUUUCUUCAAGUAAGAGGACUCUGCAUCGACCUACCCGGGGUCAGAUGACCAGUCACGUGUCACUAUGAUUGGUCUUGGGUUACUCUCUAGCCAAUGAGACAGAAGCAAGGGUCUGUGGGGCUUCUGGGAAUGAUUCUUGGCCCUAAUAAGAAGAAACUCUGUGGGCUGGAGAGAUGGCUCAGUGGUUAAGAGCACUGACUGCUCUUCCAGAGGUCCUGAGUUCAAAUCCCAGCAACCACAUGGUGGCUCACAACCAUCUGUAAUGAGAUCUGAGGCCCUCUUCUGGUGUGUCUCAGGACAGCUACAGUGUACUUACAUACAUAAAAUAUGUAAAAUCUUUCAAGAAGAAGAAGAAACUUUGUUGUUUAUGUCUUUUGAGAUAGGGUUUCUCUGGGUAGCCCUGGCUGUCUUCCUCAUCUGGUUCCCAUGCAGAUCCAAGGAGAACACAGGAGAAAUGGUUGCCGAGCUCAGCUGCCUGGAAGCCAGCCUUCUCCUGUUUGCCUGCAGAACAAGAUGUCCUCUUGGCUCCUCCAGCACCAUGUCUGCCUGGAUGCUUCCUGCCUUGAUGAUAAUGGACUGAACCUCUGAACCUCCAUGGAAACUCUAAGACAUACAGGUUCUGGGUAUUGAACUCAGUUCCUCACUGCUUGAAGGCAAGCUCUCUACUGACUGAGAUGUGACUGCAGCCUGAGUCUGUCAUACCAUGAACCCCAGCUGUCAACGUCCAGACCACCGGUCCCCGCCCUUCCUGAAUCUUGGCUCUUGUGACACACGCUCAUCCCUCCUUCUGGUGAAGCGACCUCCAUCGCUGGCCUCCAGAUGAACUGUAGCAGGCCAGCAGAGAGGGCUCAGAACAUUUGCUGGGUCAGUGGCUUUGUUGAAGAGCUGCCCUACCUGGGUGGUAACUGGAGUGCACUGCCUGGCACAGGAAGUAAAGAUGGGGGCUAGGGGACAGGAAGAAGAGAGUCAUUGGGGGUCAGCAGAUUCAUCCCUCUUCAGUCCCACGCUGGAAGCAGUCGUGGAUCAGACCACUCAGAUGGUUCUAGAAGGCGAGAAAACAUGGUCUGGGAGCUUCUCUCUCAUCCCUAUUGAUUUAUGUAAAAGCUAGCACGGUAGCCAGGCUGCAGAAGGUUCCAGCAAUCCCUUGACAUGUUCUCCCCAUUAAAUAGAAGUGACGUGGGUGACCAAUGAGAUAGAGCAGGAGUGAAGACACGAGAUUGCCAAGGUUAAAUUAUGAGAGAGAAUGGGGCUCCCCCCUCCCUGCCUUGGACAACAGCCUUUCAGGGAAGCCAGGCAUUUUGUGAGGACCCACACAACGGGACACACCCAGACACCCAAUUCUCAGCACAAAGGAGAUUUAUUACCCUGGAGGGACAGCAAGGGGAGCAGGGGCACCGCCCCUGGAUCAGACCAAGGCAACAGCAGGUACGUCUGCAGAAAUCGUUUAACGAGGAAAGGGGAAGUCUGUGCUUGAUUGGACGGCUUAGCUGGUGUAAACGAAUAGAGAAUGUUGAUAGCUGGGCCUUGGUGGUUAGUCUCAAGAAUGAGUCAGUGGCCAAAUAAGGGAAUAGACCUUGGGGCGAGCUUUAGGAAUGCAAUCUAAUGGUUUCACAAGGGAGAGGGAAGGGCAAAAGCUGCCAGCGCCAUGUUUGCCAUGACUGGGCCUGUCAGAGAGCACUUCAACGAUGGCUGCCCACUACCCAUGUUGGUUCUCUCAUCCCUGGGUUGGCUUAGGGGAGGCAUAUUCACUCCAGCACUCUCUGCCUGUUAAACUGAGGUGGGCUGGGUUUCACAUGCUCCUACAGCCUUCUGGAGAGCAGGGCAGACCCUAAGGAGCUGAGUUUCCAUGCUGCAGAGCUCACAGGAAGUUCAAGAACAGGCCAGGGCAAGCAGAUGGUGAGACACAAGAACGUUCCAGCCACCUUCUGACCUCAGGUGUGGUGGCUCAUGUCUGUAAUCCCAGCAGUCGGAAAACUAGGCAAGCAGAUUGCUCUGCGUUCAAAACCGUGUCUGUGAGUUGGAGACCAAUGUCUGGGUAGCUGAGCGGUGGCAUCUCCCACAGUCUGGACAGGACCGCCCCUGAGGGAGGGAGGAGGAGGCUGCUCGACACCUAUGAGGUCAGGAGGGCUUGAGAGAAGUUACAGAACUAAAGUCCGUUAGUCAAGCUCCAGUGAGAAUUUUCCAGAAAGCGAGACACAAAGAGGUAGGUGGAGGUGGAGUGAGUACCACCAUGAGAUGACAGCAUUCAGCUACUUGGAGUAAGUGGGCACCUGCUCUCUCCUGAGCAGCACAGACGAGCGGCAGGCACAGACAUUUUGGGGGAGAACUCAAGAAUGUGUCCAGCUGCAUGUUUCUGGUACUUAAAAGAAUGACUGAAUCAGUGACCAACCAGAUUUGUGGCCCUGUGUAGUCCUGCAGCCAGACUCGUGGAGGUCAGCAAGGGUCAAAAAUUAGGUGGGGGGGGGCGCUGGAGAGAUGGCUCAGCGGUUAAGAGCACCCGACUGCUCUUCCAGAGGUCCUGAGUUCAAAUCCCAGCAACCACAUGGUGGCUCACAACCAUCUGUAAGGAGACACGAUGCCCUCUUCUGGUGUGUCUGAAGACAGCUACAGUGUACUUAUAUAUAAUAAAUGAAUAAAUCUUUAAAAAAAAAAAUUAGGUGGGCCCACAAGAUGCAUCCAUGAAUUCCCUCCGGAACAGCUGAUCGUUUGCCACAGCGCCACCUGCUGGCUGGUUCUGACCAUGGCCAGAAUUAUAAGUUGUUGUCUGAGAGGGGAAUGGGAUGCUGGGAAAAGGGGACACCCUUCAAAUGAUCUGUCCUGCUAAAAA